UACGUAUGGAGCAAGCGUUAUCCGGAUUUACUGGGUGUAAAGGGUGCGUAGGUGGCAGUGCAAGUCAGAUGUGAAAGGCCGGGGCUCAACCCCGGAGCUGCAUUAGAAACUGCUCGGCUAGAGUACAGGAGAGGCAGGCGGAAUUCCUAGUGUAGCGGUGAAAUGCGUAGAUAUUAGGAGGAACACCAGUGGCGAAGGCGGCCUGCUGGACUGUUACUGACACUGAGGCACGAAAGCGUGGGGAGCAAACAGG
rnacentral:rRNA from 1 species